GCUAGCGGCAGCUGAAUCCAAGGUAACUUCAAAUAAAAUACAAUAAACAAAUCACCAAAAAGUUUAUAAGGAGAACCCACCACUUUCCCGCAAGUGUGAAAUCCAAACCAUAAAGAUGUUGAAAAUUCAUACCAGGCUAUUUCGUGUGCUGUCCUGUAAAAUAACAGAGAAGAACAACGGCAAGCAUUCACUAAAACCAAAAGAUGAAAUUAUAAAUUUAAGAGGGAUUAUCCUGCCAUGAUCAAGUGGAACACCUGCUUUGUAUGCCUGACAGCAGACUGUCAAAGAAGAUCAUUCACCCAGCAAAGCUGCAUUAAAGUGAUCAGCACCUUGAUGCUGGGCAUGAUGCUCAGGAGAGGAUGCUGCUGUUUGACCGCCUUUAUUAGCACUGGAUUUAAAGCAUCUUACAAAGGCACUGCUGGUAGUACUUGUCCAAUACUUAUCAGAGCCUCCUGCAGUGCCACAAGGAUGCCACCCGAAAGUUGCAGGAACAGCAACUCAUAUUCGCUUGGGAACCCUGCAGCCCAAUGGUAUCAAUGUGGACUUCACCAGCUUCAAAAUCUCCCCUUCCCCCAUCGCAUCCCAAAACCAGCCCAGUUCGUCCCCUCCCCCACACUGCAUCACACAACCAGCCCAGCUCAUCCCCUCCCCUCCCCCCACUGCAUCCCAAAACCAGCCCAGCCUGUCUCUGCCUCCCUAACCUGUUCUUCCUCUCACCUAUCCCUUCCUCCCACCUCAAACCGCACCUCCAUUUCCUACCUACUAACCUCAUCCCACCUCCUUGACCUGUCCGUCUUAUCCCCUCCAUACCUCCCCACCUAUACUCUCCUCUCCACCUAUCUUCUUUUCUCUCCAUCUUCGGUCCGUCUCCCCAUCUCUCCCUAUUUAUUCCAGAACCCUCUCCCCAUCCCCCUCUCUGAAGAAGGGUCUAGGCCCGAAACGUCAGGUUUAGUGCUCCCGAGAUGCUGCUUCGCCUGCUGUGUUCAUCCAGCUCCACACUUAUCAGAGCCUGCUGUAGGACUCUGAAGCAUGCUGGAAUAUGGGGACCACAGCUGCUCAGUAAACUAGUCCCUUAGUUUUAGGUGUGAGAUCUUGGCCCUCACCUCAAAUUGGUGUAGUUUGUUAUGCAACAUUAGGAAUGCUGAUGAUGAAUUUUGUUGUCCAUGUCUGUCCUUUCCAAGAGAAGGAUCCCAGGUUUUGGAACAUAUUCUGUAUUUUCCAGGAUAUUGUUGGUGAUCUUAAUAAAUGAGAGGUGGUUUUGUACAUUGGGAUCUUAUUAAAAGAAGGCUUAUUUUCUCAGAUCCAGGGUAAGAGUCAACAAUGACCUUUAAGCUCAAUUUGAGAAAGCACACACACAUCUUCAUUAAGAUCGGGUUUGUGGUGGUUCUGAUGGUGGGGAUUGUGGCUUGCAAGUCAUCAUGGAGUAGAUGGAGGAUGUCAGCAAAUAUUUUGGGCAGUAGAGUUUCCACACAACAAACUUGGAGUUUGCGCUUGGUCCCCUUUCUCCCACAAUCCUUUCUCAAUUUUUAGUCUAUGAUUAUAUUUUCUCUCUUUUCAAAAUCAUAUAAUCUAUGUUUGCGUGUAUUUUAGAAAAAAAAAUCUGCAUAUUUUCAGAUGCAGUUGUGUGUCAGUUUGUUACAUCAUAAAAGUGUAGAG